ACGUCGACCGGCGCACGGGUGAGUAACGCGUAUCCAACCUUCCCAUUAUUGUGGGAUAACCUGCCGAAAGGCAGACUAAUACCGCAUAGUCUUCGAUGACGGCAUCAGAUUUGAAGUAAAGAUUUAUCGGUAAUGGAUGGGGAUGCGUCUGAUUAGCUUGUUGGCGGGGUAACGGCCCACCAAGGCGACGAUCGGUAGGGGUUCUGAGAGGAAGGUCCCCCACAUUGGAACUGAGACACGGUCCAAACUCCUACGGGAGGCAGCAGCU
rnacentral:rRNA from 1 species